rnacentral:antisense_RNA from 1 species
AGCCCGUCUCCCGUUAGGAGCCGGGGAGGCAAGGCCCAGCGAACGGUCCGGGGGAACCUUAACUAUCGUUUCUGUGCCUGGACAGUAGGUUGGAGAGUGGGGUCUGAAUGAGCUACAGUAGUGAACGCCGACGGCUUGUGUUGAGGGCAGGAAAGGGUGCGCACAACUCAGCAGGUGCUUCCGCGAGAAAGGUGACUGAUACAACAACGUAGAGGACCCUGCAAUGUGGAGAGGCAUGAAACUGGAGGUCCAAAUCCGUGAGUUAACAACCAAGACGUCCAUACAGGAGAUGCAUUGGUGGAUGGGUGAAGAGAUGAUAAAACGGUCGGAGGCUUCCCAUCAGGGGUCUCCCAUCGGCUGCCUCCUGCAGCUGAGAGGUGAGCAUGUGACACCUCCUCUCGUGCCAGGGCUUGGAAUCUUGAGCAGACUGGCUCAAGGAUGAAGAGCAGUUGGGGUCCUGUGCUUCUCCCACCUGGAGCUGCCCCGCCCUGUGCUUCCCAAGCGUGGUUCU